AGUGAACGCUGGCGGUAGGCCUAACACAUGCAAGUCGAACGGCAGCACAGUAAGAGCUUGCUCUUACGGGUGGCGAGUGGCGGACGGGUGAGGAAUAAAUCGGAAUCUACUUUUUCGUGGGGGAUAACGUAGGGAAACUUACGCUAAUACCGCAUACGACCUACGGGUGAAAGCAGGGGAUCUUCGGACCUUGCGCGAUUGAAUGAGCCGAUGUCGGAUUAGCUAGUUGGCGGGGUAAAGGCCCACCAAGGCGACGAUCCGUAGCUGGUCUGAGAGGAUGAUCAGCCACACAGGAACUGAGACACGGUCCAGACUCCUACGGGAGGCAGCAGUGGGGAAUAUUGGACAAUGGGCGCAAGCCUGAUCCAGCCAUACCGCGUGGGUGAAGAAGGCCUUCGGGUUGUAAAGCCCUUUUGUUGGGAAAGAAAAGCAGCAGGUUAAUACCCCGCUGUUCUGACGGUACCCAAAGAAUAAGCACCGGCUAACUGCGU
rnacentral:rRNA from 1 species